AACUUUCUGAUUGUUGUUCACUCUAGAGCAUUGACAUCAACAACUCCUCAUGUUGUCCAUGAACUCUUCUUCUAUCAACUCCCAAAAAAGAUUAUUAAGAUCUUCUGAACUAUUUGGAUCCAUUUGAGUGAAAGAAGAUUGAGAGAAGAGUUAUAGAAGAUUAUAUGGUGGAGUUUGUCGGUGGUGACAAAAAUUGAGAAUUUUGAGAAAUAGGGUGUUGGUGAUUUUGCAUAAAAUGCAAUAAAGGUUAUUGGUAAUUAAACUGAUUAGGAUCCAUUUGACAUAAACAAAAAUAAAUUUGAAGUGAAGAGAUAAAUAAUUGAAUAAAAUGUAUUAUCAAAUGAAGACCAAAGAAAUGAAGUUGUGAAGUUAAAACUAUAAGAGAAUAAUUGUGGGUAAAAAUAAGAGCAAAUAGAUGAAAUAUUGAAAUUGUGAUGAAAAAAUUGAAUGUAAUUUUUCUAAAUGAACACAAUUUAUAGUUACAGGAAUUUCAAACUAACAAAAAAAAAAAGAACAUGUAAAAAUCAAUGAUGCAUUGAUGUCUGUCAUUUAUUCAAAACGGUAACAAUAUUUAUUAUUGUUUAUUCAAAGUAACCGUUGCUUUCUGAAACAACGGUGAUGCCAGCCUGUCGGACUCCAAGG
rnacentral:lncRNA from 1 species